GACGAACGCUGGCGGCGUGCCUAAUACAUGCAAGUUGAGCGAUGAAGCUUGGUGCUUGCACCACUUUGAAGAGCAGCGAACGGGUGAGUAACGCGUGGGGAAUCUGCCUUUGAGCGGGGGACAACAUUUGGAAACGAAUGCUAAUACCGCAUAACAACUUUAAACAUAAGUUUUAAGUUUGAAAGAUGCAAUUGCAUCACUCAAAGAUGAUCCCGCGUUGUAUUAGCUAGUUGGUGAGGUAAAGGCUCACCAAGGCGAUGAUACAUAGCCGACCUGAGAGGGUUGACGGCCACAUUGGGACUGGGACACGGCCCAAGCUCCUACGGGAAGCAGCAGUAGGGAAUCUUCGGCAAUUGACGAAAGGCUGGCCGGGCAAAGCCGCGUGAGUGAAGAAGGGUCUCGGAUCGUAAAACUCUGUUGGUAGAGAAGAACGUAGGGGGGAGUGGAAAGCUCAUCAAGUGACGGUAACUACCCAGAAAGGGACGGCUAACUACGUG
rnacentral:rRNA from 1 species